rnacentral:rRNA from 1 species
GACGAACGCUGGCGGCGUGCUUAACACAUGCAAGUCGAACGGAAAGGCCCUGCUUGCAGGGUACUCGAGUGGCGAACGGGUGAGUAACACGUGGGUGAUCUGCCCUGCACUUCGGGAUAAGCCUGGGAAACUGGGUCUAAUACCGGAUAGGAGCCAUUUUUAGUGUGAUGGUUGGAAAGUUUUUUCGGUGUAGGAUGAGCUCGCGGCCUAUCAGCUUGUUGGUGGGGUAAUGGCCUACCAAGGCGGCGACGGGUAGCCGGCCUGAGAGGGUGGACGGCCACAUUGGGACUGAGAUACGGCCCAGACUCCUACGGGAGGCAGCAGGGGGGAAAAUUGGACAAUGGGCGCAAGCCUGAUGCAGCGACGCCGCGUGGGGGAUGACGGGCUUCGGGUUGUAAACUCCUUUCGCUAGGGACGAAGCUUUUUGUGACGGUACCUAGAUAAGAAGCACCGGCUAACUACGUG